CAGCCGUGGCGGCAGGCGGCCUGGUGGGGAAGGGGCGCGACAUCAGCCUAGCGGCCCUGCAGCGCCACGACCCCUAUAUCAACCGCAUCGUGGACGUGGCCAGCCAGGUGGCUCUGUACACCUUCGGCCAUCGGGCCAACGAGUGGGAGAAAACUGAUGUGGAAGGAACCUUAUUUGUUUAUACAAGGUCUGCUUCUCCAAAGCACGGAUUCACCAUUAUGAAUAGGCUGAGCAUGGAAAAUAGGACAGAACCUAUUACUAAAGACUUGGAUUUCCAACUCCAGGACCCUUUCCUUCUCUACAGAAAUGCCAGAUUGUCCAUCUAUGGAAUUUGGUUUUAUGAUAAGGAAGAAUGCCAAAGAAUUGCAGAGCUUAUGAAAAACCUAACUCAGUAUGAACAGUUGAAAGCCCAUCAGGGAACUGGAGCAGGAAUUUCCCCAAUGAUCCUCAAUUCAGGAGAGGGCAAAGAAGUAGAUAUUUUACGAAUGCUCAUCAAGGCCAAAGACGAAUACACAAAGCCAGAUGUUGUGAUACAGUGUACCAGGACACCUGCAUGAUCACGCUACUUUCCUAGUCUGCGUUUUUCUUGGUUUGUCAU
rnacentral:sRNA from 1 species